UACGUAGGGGGCAAGCGUUGUCCGGAAUCAUUGGGCGUAAAGCGCGUGUAGGCGGCUUGGUAAGUCUGCUCUGAAAGCCCGGGGCUCAACCCCGGGAGGCGGGUGGAUACUGUCAAGCUCGAGUCCGGAAGAGGAGUGUGGAAUUCCUGGUGUAGCGGUGAAAUGCGCAGAUAUCAGGAGGAACACCAAUGGCGAAAGCACUCUGCUGGGCCGACACUGACACUGAGAGACGAAAGCUAGGGGAGCGAAUGGG
rnacentral:rRNA from 1 species